ensembl:lncRNA LINC02359 long intergenic non-protein coding RNA 2359
CACAGUACAUCACCUUCAUGAGCGCAUCAGUGAACACCAGUCUAAGGAAGACAUCUCUGAACGUAAUUUUGGAGAUUUUGAUGAGUUCCAUUGAAACAAGGAGGAAUGUGAUGUCCAGUAUCAGUUCUGCAGACCCAAGGACAAAGAAAAUUCUGUGAUAAACUCAUCCAGUGUGACUGUAAUGUGGGUAUCUAUUUGAUACCUCCAAGUAACUGUUUAUUCUUGUGCCAGUUGAGUAGAUGGUACGGGCCAGUUGGUGUUGAUUAGUGAACCACGGACAAAGGGCAUAUGUCACAUGAGUUGCUCCUGGAUAAAGUCACCCAGUCACUUCCUGAUGAAUAUCCUGCAUAAACUCCAAAGACAAAAGAGAGUUAAGGUUGUUUUUCUCACCUUAGACCAGGCAGUGAUAGAAGAACUGGGGGAAGAGAUAAUUGUAUUUAUCUUGGUGAGGGUGACAAAUCAUGGCAAAUGAGCAAAAUGAAAAAGGUUUGCAGAUUUCAACAAACUUCUAAAAGAUCAGCUUACAGUCAUGUAUACAUCUCUUCCUUUGUUUCUAGUUUAUUUGCAUCUCAUUACUAUGUUCUCGGUUUAGGAUACAAGACACCGGACUUUCAAAUCAACAAUUGUUUCAAAAGACUCCUACUGGAUUCCUGCUAGUGAUGGGAGAAAAUUAUCAUUCUGUGAGUUGUCAAUAAAUGUUUAACCACAGUUCACCUUUUUUGGAUUUUAAGAUGUCUGCGCCACUAGGACGCUCAGAAAAAUUACCCUCCAAAUGCUACUUGGAGGAGGAUUCAGUACCACCCUGAGAAGGCAACCAGCUACAACCUUGGUUGUAGUUUCGGUUGCAGAAAGAGCGUGAAGUGUGCAACUCAUGUCUGUCUUCAUUUUAAUAGGCUAGUUAAUCUGUAGCCAGAGAUGAUUAAGGAGGUCAUUAAAGGAAAACAAGCUGCCCACCAUGCUGAUGCCUGGUUGUUCAGAUCGUUGAGGUGGUGUAGAGAUGACGCACACUGGCUCAGUUUACCCACAUUUGGAUCUACGGACCUGCAAGUCCUCUGUCAUGACACACCAGCCCUGGGAUAUCACAUAAGCUACAGGUCAGACGCUGCUUUCCAGACAGAAUUAUGGAGAAGACAACCAUCAUUUUGGCCCUGCUGGAAAUUUUCCAUGCUCUUCAUUCGUUCUCCUGUAUUUCCUAACGCCAAUAAAAGAGGAGAUCCCUGAGGACACGCCUCUCUUUAAUAUCUGCUUUCCUUGCAAAGAUAAGCCAAAGACCAAUGUAUGUCGUAUCUGCCCCCUUCAGCCUUUGGGACACAAUUUUGAUAAACCUUCCUCUAUUUCACAUUAACAGAAAA